UGCAAGUCGAGCGGACAGAUGGGAGCUUGCUCCCUGAUGUUAGCGGCGGACGGGUGAGUAACACGUGGGUAACCUGCCUGUAAGACUGGGAUAACUCCGGGAAACCGGGGCUAAUACCGGAUGGUUGUCUGAACCGCAUGGUUCAGACAUAAAAGGUGGCUUCGGCUACCACUUACAGAUGGACCCGCGGCGCAUUAGCUAGUUGGUGAGGUAACGGCUCACCAAGGCGACGAUGCGUAGCCGACCUGAGAGGGUGAUCGGCCACACUGGGACUGAGACACGGCCCAGACUCCUACGGGAGGCAGCAGUAGGGAAUCUUCCGCAAUGGACGAAAGUCUGACGGAGCAACGCCGCGUGAGUGAUGAAGGUUUUCGGAUCGUAAAGCUCUGUUGUUAGGGAAGAACAAGUGCCGUUCAAAUAGGGCGGCACCUUGACGGUACCUAACCAGAAAGCCACGGCUAACUACGUGCCAGCAGCCGCGGUAAUACGUAGGUGGCAAGCGUUGUCCGGAAUUAUUGGGCGUAAAGGGCUCGCAGGCGGUUUCUUAAGUCUGAUGUGAAAGCCCCCGGCUCAACCGGGGAGGGUCAUUGGAAACUGGGGAACUUGAGUGCAGAAGAGGAGAGUGGAAUUCCACGUGUAGCGGUGAAAUGCGUAGAGAUGUGGAGGAACACCAGUGGCGAAGGCGACUCUCUGGUCUGUAACUGACGCUGAGGAGCG
rnacentral:rRNA from 1 species